rnacentral:rRNA from 1 species
AGUGAACGCUGGCGGUAGGCCUAACACAUGCAAGUCGAACGGCAGCACAGAGGAGCUUGCUCCUUGGGUGGCGAGUGGCGGACGGGUGAGGAAUACAUCGGAAUCUACUCUGUCGUGGGGGAUAACGUAGGGAAACUUACGCUAAUACCGCAUACGACCUACGGGCGAAAGCAGGGGACCUUCGGGCCUUGCGCGAUUGCAUGAGCCGAUGUCGGAUUAGCUAGUUGGCGGGGUAAAGGCCCACCAAGGCGACGAUCCGUAGCUGGUCUGAGAGGAUGAUCAGCCACACUGGAACUGAGACACGGUCCAGACUCCUACGGGAGGCAGCAGUGGGGAAUAUUGGACAAUGGGCGCAAGCCUGAUCCAGCCAUACCGCGUGGGUGAAGAAGGCCUUCGGGUUGUAAAGCCCUUUUGUUGGGAAAGAAAUCCAGCUGGCUAAUACCCGGUUGGGAUGACGGUACCCAAAGAAUAAGCACCGGCUAACUUCGUGCCAGCCGCCGCAGUAA